rnacentral:rRNA from 1 species
GUGCCAGCAGCCGCGGUAAUACCGGCAGCCCGAGUGAUGGCCGAUCUUAUUGGGCCUAAAGCGUCCGUAGCCGGCCGGACAAGUCCGUUGGGAAAUCGACGCGCCUAACGUGUCGGCGUCCAGCGGAAACUGUCCGGCUUGGGGCCGGAAGAUCCGAGGGGUACGUCCGGGGUAGGAGUGAAAUCCCGUAAUCCUGGACGGACCACCGGUGGCGAAAGCGCCUCGGAAGGACGGACCCGACGGUGAGGGACGAAAGCUGGGGUCUCGAACCGGAUUAGAUACCCCUGUAGUCC